rnacentral:lncRNA from 1 species
UUCAAAAACCUCGAUUCCCUUUUUCCCUUUUUUGUGCUCUCCGAUCUCAACUUCUACUAUAUUUCUCCCUUUUCUGGUAGUGUAUGCGUGUGUAGCAUUUUUCUAAUGAGUGUUGAUGAAAUUUUUGUGCAUAUGGCAGUGUGUGUUUUCGGUGAAUAUCUUUUUUUUCGAUGGUGUGCCUAUAUAUGUGAAUAGAAAUCUGUGUGAAUUGUGUGUGUAUGUUAAUAUGUAUAUGUGUGAGUAAUGUAUGUGAGAGGUCUCUUUAGUCAUGGUGUGUGUAAAUUUUUUGUCUUUUUUGAGUUCGUUAGAAAAAGGGAUAAAACGUGAGGGGUAGGGGUAAGGGUGGGGUAAACAUUGUUAGAAUAAGGUAAGGUGGUUAAAUUUGAUUGGGUGGGGUGUUAAUUUGUUAUGAAUUUGUUGUAAUUUUGUAUUAGGAUAAAAAUAAAUAAAUAAAUAAAUCAAAAAAAUAAGAUGGUUGUUUAUUUUGUUUUUCUUGUGAAAAAAUUACUACGUGGAUGUGUACGCAGUAAAGUGUAUUCAAAAUUGAUUUGGGGUGGGACUAAAUUAUGCGUCUACAUCAUGCCCCUCUUUGAAUGUAAACACAAAGUAUUUUCAGAUAAAGAAAUAGACAACGAGGUCAAAUUUUGACCCGACCAUUAUUAUGAAGAAAGAAAAAGAAGGACAGACGCAACUGAGUAUUUACUUUGGACCUCCUACCCAUCUCAAGUUAUGUGGGGAUCAAGUCACAUGUCGUUCAAGGGUUGAAAAAGGAAGGACUGUACCGAAUUGGAGAGUUGAGUGAGGCCUUGUCGAGGUUUCGUUCCGCAACUCUGUCAUUACACCAAAAAAAUGAAAAUUACAAGUUAAAAACAUAAAUAAAAUUACUAAAGUCCUAUCUAUGCAUCUUUCCUUGGCUCUUGACAUUCUAUUUCAUUACCCUAUUCUCCAGGCGGGCUCCUAACUUACAAUUUCUUCGCUCUUCUUCGGUCGAGAUCUCGACUUACAAUUUCUUCACGUCGUUUCUUGGAUUUCAAUUUCCUCGCCUUGUUCUCCAGGUGGACUCCUAACUUUCUAUUUCUUCAAUCUAUUGACUUUCCAUUUCGUCACCUUGUUGCUUGACUUUUAAUUUCUUCAUCCUGUUCUCCAGGCGGGUUCUUGAGUUUCUAUUUCAUC